AGGAGAGGGGAGAUGUAAAGUCGUGUCACUUCCUGUUUUUUAAUUUAUUUGGCGCGAUUUGUUUGCGGCGGAUUUUACAUAACUUUUUUUUUUUUAUCACUUUUUCUUCCCAAAAUCAUCUUAAAAGAUCUUUUUGAUUCCCGGGAUUCUUUCCUUCCCUGUCGGCUGCGUGUCUUUCGAGGAGCGCGUUUGUUCCCCUGUUUUAAAGCAGUUUUUUUUAGAAGACAUAAAAACCGAGAAAGAACUUCAACUCUUUAUAAAGAACCUGGAUGAACAUAUAAAUAAUGAGUACCUGCACAGGGAGUUCUCCAAAUUUGGAACCGUCACCAACGCAGAGGUCAUAAUAGAAAAACGGACGAUCCAGGGGGUUUGGCUUUGUGCAAUUUUUAUCAGCCAAAGAAGCAACAAAGGCCAUCAGUCAGAUGAAUGGCAGGAUCUGGGGUGGGAAGCAGAUCUUUGUGGAUGUGGCUAGGCGGAAAGAAGAACGUCCACCUCAGAUUCUAGCUGUAGGACAGAGUCCAGCUCCACCUAAGGUUCUUAUAUGUAUGUAAUUGUAAUGUUUGUUGGUCAUUCAUUAGUAGGGCAGUAGUCAGUUCAGCUAUAAGUCUCGUACCUAUGACUAAACAAUUUUCAGUGUUAAGAUGAGACAUUUCUUGGAAGAAAUUUGCAUUAUGCUUUGCAUGUCUGUUUACAACGGAAAGCAUUUCAACAUGUGGCCGUACUUGCUAUGACAGUGCAUGCGUGCAUGGUAUCAGUAAAAGGUGAAGAAAUAAGAAACCUAAAAAGGUCACAGCAGUGAACAUUUCCCGAUAAUAUUUGGUGCUUGCAUGCAACUGAAUCUGUGCUUUUGGUUUUUAAAGACACCGAGUUUCACUUUUCGUCAUGAAACACUUUCAAUACGACACAGCGCUUCCUCAGGGGUAGUGUUGGGGAAAAAGCAUUUAAAUACAGAUGCAAAUCAUAUUCAAUAUACGUUAAAAACAUUUUAGGUUAUCAGUCAGACCAGAAAUAAAAUUUUAUUGUUGAGUUUAAUAUAAAAAAAAGUACUUGGUUUUUGUAAAAUUCACUCAAUUGGUAGUUUAUUAGGAACAGGAUGAAAGAUACAGUUUAAUUUACAUCUUAAUUUGAUAAAUGACAUCAUCUAACCACCACAAAUCAUAAGCAAUCUGCUUCACUGAUCCAUCAGAUCUUCUAGUCAGCUCCUUUUCAUAGUUUCUCUGUAGAGACGUACCAGUGCCAAUUGGAUCCCACUGCAUGUGUGGAGUUUGACAUUGGAACCCCUGGAGUGUUUAAAGGCUCUGGCAUGG